rnacentral:rRNA from 1 species
AGCUCCAAUAGCGUAUAUUAAAGUUGUUGCGGUUAAAAAGCUCGUAGUUCGAGCUCAGUUCCGGACUGGCCGGGGAGGUCACCGCCCGGUGCUUCCCCGUCAGGCUCCGAACAGCCUUCGUGAGCGGAGGCCAAGCCGGUUCUGCCGGGGUGCUCUUUACCGAGUGUCCCGCGCGGCCGGCCAGUUCACCUUGAAUAAAUGAGAGUGCUCAAAGCAGGCUACUCUCGAAUACAAUGCCCGAAUGUUACCUGCAUGGAAUGAUGGAAGAUGAUCUCGGUUCCAUUUUAUUGGUGGUGGGAGCCCGAGGUAAUGAUAAACAGGGACUGUCGGGGGCAUCCGUACUACGACGCGAGAGGUGAAAUUCAGUGACCGUCGUAGGACGAACAACAGCGAAAGCAUUUGCCAAGAAUGUCUUCG